rnacentral:misc_RNA from 1 species
CCAAUAGCGUAUAUUAAAGUUGUUGCAGUUAAAAAGCUCGUAGUCGAAUUUCGGGACCAAUCUGCCGGUCGUGCCUCCGGUACGCACUGGUUUUAUUGGUUUCUCCCUUCUGACGAACCAUGAUGUCAUUAAUUUGGUGUCAUGGGGAAUCAGGACUGUUACUUUGAAAAAAUUAGAGUGUUUAUAGCAGGCUCACGCUUGAAUACAUUAGCAUGGAAUAAUGAAAUAGGACGUUUGACCCUAUUUUGUUGGUUUCUAGGAUCGACGUAAUGAUUAAUAGGGAUAGUUGGGGGCAUUAGUAUUCAAUUGUCAGAGGUGAAAUUCUUGGAUUUAUUGAAGACUAACUACUGCGAAAGCAUUUGCCAAGGAUGUUUUCAUUAAUCAAGAACGAAAGUUAGGGGAUCGAAGACGAUCAGAUACCGUCGUAGUCUUAACCAUAAACUAUGCCGACUAGGGAUCGGAUGAUGUUAAUUUUUUAAUGACUCAUUCGGCGCCUUACG